GAAGUAAAAUAAAUUUGAAAAUGUCAUAUUGAUGACUGAUAAUGGUUUAAUUUAAUUAUAAACCUUUUUAUGAAACUUAAUUUUUGAUUCCUAUUUUUGAAUGAAGUAUUGAUGCAGCGCAAGAAGAUGACAGUCUUGGAAGACUAGUCAAUGAUGACCACAUCUAUCCAAACUGCAAAAUGAAGAGGGUCAUAGCAGAGGGCAAGCCACAUCUUUGUCUUUUUGCUCUGAGAGACAUUAAGGCUGGAGAAGAAAUAACGUAUGACUAUGGAGGAUCUGAUUGGCCUUGGAGAAAACAGGUUUGUAACUCUUGAAUUGUGUGAUGUAGAUUAGUGAAUGUGCAUAUUUGCUUUCAUGAGGAGAUCGGUGAAGGAUUUGUGUUUCUUUUGUGAGAUUUAUUCUGCUACUGGUUUUUUAAUCUGAGUUUUUUUAAAUCAAAUGACAGUGAUUGCUAAUGCUAAUAAGUUUGAAGGGACAAAUACAGGAAAAAAGCCUUUUCUUCAGUACAGGGACAAUAUACUUAAGCUAAAUAACCAGAAGUGUGUUCUGCCACUCUUCAGCUUUCCUUAUUCUUAAUUACAGUAGUAUAUUAGCAGACAUCUGUGCUAAAUUGAAAAUUUAAUAAUCAAAUAUAACUGACUUUUAGUUGUAUACAGAGACUAUUUAAGUUGCAUCAUCAAUUGCAUGUUUCCUGUAUACAUGUACUUCAUAUUGUGACUGAUUCAUACAAGUGUUAAUGCUGAUAUGCUAAAUACAGAUAUUGAAUUCAUUUGUCAGGCUAAAGUGCAAGAAACUGCAUCUGAUACACUGUCAUCAGAGGAGGUUCCCCAGAGUCCUUCCCCCUCCAAGAUGCAGGCUAAAGUGCAAAAUACUGCAGCUGAUACACUGUCAUCAGAGGAGGUUCCUCAGAGCCCUUCGUUCUCCGAGAUGCAGGCUAAAACACAAGAAACUAGCGCUGAUACACUGUCAUCAGAAGAGGUUCCUCAGAGCCCUUCCCUCUCCGAGAUGCAGGCUAAAACACAAGAAACUAGCGCUGAUACACUGUCAUCAGAAGAGGUUCCUCAGAGCCCUUCCCUCUCCGAGAUGCAGGCUAAAACACAAGAAACUAGCGCUGAUACACUGUCAUCAGAGGAGGUUCCUCAGAGCCCUUUGUUCUCCGAGAUGCAGGCUAAAACACAAGAAACGGGCGCUGAUACACUGUCAUCAGAGGAGGUACCUCAGAGCCCUUCCCUCUCCCAUAUGCAGAGUUUACAAGAAGCAGGAGUCUUUCAUUCAAUGAAAACUAUAAAAUCAGAACCGCUUGUGAACUACACUGAUUCUGAUGAUGAGAGUCCAUCCAUAAGUCCUGACCAAUUGAAGUCAACAUGCCAGAUGACAAGACAACUAGAUUUGGAUGAGCACUUUGACUUUACAUCCGAUCCUAGUGAAAAUGCACACGAGGACAGUGACAAUGAGGCAGCAAGUGAGUCAGAGCCACAAGAGAAUGUGGAUGAGGACAAUGACAGUGGAGCAGCAUGUGGGUCAGGGUCACAAGAGAGUGUGGAUGUACUUGACGACAGCAUCAAUGGGGCAGCAUGUAAGUCACAAGAGUGUCUGGUUAAAUGUAAUCAGACUGAAGAUGGCAAGGCUACACUGACGGAUGUUAGUGAUUCAGCACCACAUCAAAGUUUCAUGGCUACAACAUAUAAGUCACCAAAACAAAUAGGUUGGCAUAUUAACAAUUUUACUAGCAUUUUUGCUUAAGAAGUAUACUUUUCAUGAAUUCAGAUAUAGUGUUGUCUUCUCCUUGUGCAUUUAUAGUCUUCAAAUGAUUUUUAAUGAAGCAUUUUUCAUAUAUAGACCUAUACACCAAUAUUAAUUUGAGUUGUGUAAUUGUACAGGUCGCCAAGUUUUCAAAAGAAGGAAAUGGGAGAAUGAAGAGGUACAAGCUGUUGAAAGACAUCUGAUGCACUUCAUUACCUCAUGCCGUGUUCCAGGAAAACUUGAAAUUGAUAAGUGUCUUGGGGUUGAAAAUGUGGCGCUGAAAGACAGGGACUGGUUGUCCAUAAAGUUUUAUGUCAAGAACCGUAUAACAGCUUUGAAAAGAAAGGCCUUUGAAACUGGCCUCUGAAACACAGUUCAAUAGUAACUGUUCAAUUGUUUGUCUAAAGCAGCGUUUUUGUUUACAAUGCUGUAACUGAAUAAUUCUUAUAUUUGAAUGACUACCUUUUUUGUUCAUAUUUUUAUAAACAAAUCUUCUAUAUCAGAAUAUGAAUCUGAUCUUUUUUUUUUUUUUACAGAAGUUCAAGGUAAAUACCAGUAACUAAUGUUCAAAUAAAAUUAUGUGGCUUACACA
rnacentral:lncRNA from 1 species